CCGUGCACUCACACGCUUACUCGCUUACAUGCAACUACGGUGACGUCUGCAUCGUUCCAUAGCUUGGUGUUAUCGAGCAUCGAAGAAGGGCGUCGCGCUUCCGCUCUGCAGUGCCCCGGUGAGAGAGAGACACAGGGGAACACAGACGAGGAAGGGGCGUGCGAGGGUGUGUCUCUGCAGGAACAAGGAGGAGGAGGAGGCGACACACACACACACACACACACACACACAUCCGCUGUGCUCGUCCACCGAAGCAUUUUUCUUCUACCUUGCGAGGCGGCAUGGCCUUCUUCCUCAAGGCCCUUGGCCUGUCCGACAGCAUCCCGGGCUUCCCCUUCACCCCUGCCGCCAAUGACCCUGGCCGCACCGUGUACACCUCGCCACGGAUGUGCUGGACCCUGCGACCCGGCACACAGAGCGACGAUGCGCAGACGAGGGUGUCCAUCUUUACCUGCUCUGUUUCUGCGGCGACCACGGCAGGCAGCAGCGGUGACCGCGAGCUGAUCAAGCAGCUGGCCCGAAACACCAUGCGCCGCGCAAAGAGCCUUAUGAUCCCAGGGUUUCUCAAGUGCCACGGCGCGGUGGAGCACGGCGAAACGAUCUACAUAGCCACGGAGCCGUGUGUGGCGCUGAAAGACGUUUUGGAGAGUUUAGAGUUGCGACGGCACUACUGUGGAGAGAUGGAGGAGGAGUACGCCGCCUCCGUCGCGUACGGCCUGGAAACAGUGGGUGGCGCACUCGCGGCACUUCAAUCGAACAGGCUGGUGCAUGGCAACGUACACUGCGGGUCGAUCUUUAUCUCCGCUGUGUCGGGGUUCUGGCGGCUAUUCGGGCUGGAGUUCAUAUCCGCAAUGGACGAAGUGGCGAGGGGUACCCCCGGCUGCCUCUUCGAAUGCGCGCGACGCGCUGGAAUGGUCGUCGGGUAUCGCUGCCCGCCGGAGCUGGGUAGCAGCAGCUGCGGUGACGUCGGUAGUGGGGAUCCUGUGGUGGCCGUGGACGCAUGGGGCGUAGGCUGCUUACUGUACGAAACGGUGGGGGUGACGGCCGAGGAGGCGAUCAACGGCAGGCUGAAUUCAGUGGCUCACAACCUUAGCGCGGCGGAGCUGCGAAACGUGUGCCGUCAGAGCCUGCCGAAGUCUCUGCACCAGGGCUGCAUCCACCUCACAACGCCAAACCCGCGCAUGCGCAAGUCCAUUGCGGCCUUCUUAGAGAACUGCGAGUUUGUAAAGAAGAGCACGUUUGUGCAGUACAUGAAGGCGCUGUCCGGGUUGCUACUGAUGGAUCUGUCGCAGCAGAUGCGGCUGGCCGAGUCGCUGGCUGAGACGGUGGAAAAGUUUCCACUGCGGGCGUGCCUCUGCUUCGUUCUACCGCGGCUCGGCGAGCUUGUCCGCACUGCUGCAAAGGCCAGUGGCAGCUCGGGAGCGAUAGGGGUGUCGAUUGGGCCGUUGGCCGACCCUGUGCUGAAGAUCUCGGAGCGCACCGCAGCGGGCGAGGACUUUGAUACAUAUGUAACGCCGGUGCUUGUGCAGCUUUACCAGUCGGCCGAUGUGCUGCUGCGCUACAAGCUGCUCCUGGGCGUCGAGACCUACGGCGCGAAGCUGUCCUCCACGGCGCUGAACAACGCUAUCUGGCCGCUCUACGCCAAGGGGUUCGCAUACUCGGCGCCCAGAGUGCGGGAGUACAGUGCGCGCGCAUUGGUGCACCUCGCUCCUCACAUGUCGGAGAGCAUCCUUGGCGACCAGGUGCCGAAGGCCCUCGCGCAGCUGCAGCGCGACGUCGACGGAGCGCUGCGCGCCAACGCCACCAUAGCCCUCAACCUCAUCUCCGAGCACAUUACACCCCCGUCGCAGCGGGCGAUGGUGAUGCUGGUGUACUGCCGCCCGAUGCUCCGCGACGCCUUCGAACCGUCACGCGUGGCGGCGCUGCGGUCGCUGCACGGGUCUCUCGAGUGCUUGUCAGCCAAGCAGCUCGCCGAGUCGGUGCUUCCAGCCAUAUCGCCACUGACUGUCGACCCGACGUCCGCGGAGAGUCGCACGGCUGCGUUGUCGCUCCUGAAUGCGUCCAUGGCGAAGUUGGAGGCGCAUCAUAAGCAGCUCUCCGCGCAGCAGGUGACUGUUCCCUCUGGCGGCCCCGUCACUGCCAACGGAAGCACGGAUGCCUCGUCGACAAGCACUCCUGUGCCUGCCACUGUGCCGGCUGGCACUGCAUCAAGAGGAUGGGGCCUGCUGGAUGGUUUCACCAUAUCUUCUGCAUUGUCUACUGCCGGUGCUGCACCGCAGCACGUCGAUGCUGUCUCGGCGCCCGUGUCGUCAAGUGCUUCUAGCCCGCUGCGCCCGACCCCGGUAGCCACUGUGCUGCCGACACCGGUGGCUGAUGCGGCUUCCUCAGUGGGGGGCGGCGGCAGUGGCUGGAGCGACGACGAUGAAGCUGCUGCGGCGAGUGAGGACGACGGCGUGAGCAGGCCCCACGCUUUCCGUGAGAGCUCGCAAUUUGCCAAGUCUACCGCGCCACCGCCGAGCGCGCCCACGGCGCCCUUCUUUGCCGGCACGAAGUCAGCGCCUACUGCUGCAUCUUACGCUGCCUCUCCAGUGAAUGCUGCCGGCGGUGCUCACGGGUCUACAUCAUCUCUCACGGGGCUCGCAUCCUCGCCGCCGUCGCAGCCUGUCCUGACAGUGCCGACCGCUAGCAGGGUGUCAAUCCGACCCGGCAUCAGUAGUAUAGUCGGCGGCACCGGUGGAGCCGCGCCUGUCAGUGUAAGCGGUGGCACCGAUUCCGUCACUGCGAGUGCGCCUAGCGGGCCGAUGAAGCUGCGCAGGAAGGGCGGUCUCGGGGCGGCGCGACUGGAUUGAGAGGGGAAAGCAAGAGCGCGUCGGCGUGGUCGCUUACCUAUAUGUGUAUGGAGAAUAGCUGGACAGCUGCGCUACCACGCGAACUCCCAGCCCACUAUCGGACACCAUCUUGUUGACCCCUUCUCACGGAGGCGUGAUGGUUCCGCGGAAGAGGCGGGGAGAGAAAGGGCAUCUUCCUCUUCCUCUCCCUCCACACACACACACACCCGCCUUUCCACAGCCCUCCCUCCCUCCCUCUUGCGUCGCUGUAGGAGGCGGUGGUGCCGUUUUGCGAGAGGAGCAGCAGCAGCAGCAGUAGUGGCACGAGUGUGCCUGCGCGCUGUGCACGGCUUGUAGGCUCACCGCACAUGCUGCAUGGGGACGAUGAGCACAUGGAAAGGAGGCAAAAGGGAGCUGAAUCGCGCUCUAGGCGUGCCGGUGCGUGUUCCGGUGUGUGUUCUCAUUCGGAUCUGUCUUGAUUGCCCGGUACUCCUCUUGGCUGUGCGCGUACACGGGCGGUGAUGAUGGGCGUUGCCCGGCAUAGGAGAGGGAAGAGGUGAGCCGUGGCAGUGGCCGUGUUGGUGGUUGUGCUGGCCCGGAGAGACGGUGCGUCUGUGGUGCCCACCGAUAGUGUGCCGCUAUUUUUGUUGGGCGGGAGAGGAGGGGCGGCGCCGCUUGAUGGGCAACGCGGGGAUGGGGUCUACUCGGGGCUGCGCAGAAGCCCCUCUCUCCUAUCGACGGGCACGCGGCGCUUGCCUCGGCUUCCCUGCCACUGUUACUCGCCGUCUGCAUCGUUCUCUCCCUCUGUCUUUGCUCUGGCAUUCGCCCGACUGCUGUUGCGUGUGGCCUUCCUAAGAGUGGGGGUGGGGGCACGCAACGGGUGUGAAGCGGCUCUCUUAGCUCGCCGCUCUCGCCAACGUGCCACCUCCUCCCCCUUUCAUCGUUUGAACACCAACGCUCGAGCGGAGGGCGGCGCGCGCUCUCACGCUUCUCGCGCUUGCGCGUGUUGUGUCGCUCGCCGGAGCAUCCUCACCGCCUCUUUGUCCCCCCUACCCUUCUCUUGGUCCUACGCUGUCCACCGCCACCACACAG
rnacentral:misc_RNA from 1 species